CUGGGUAUAGCUCAGUGGUAGAGCACCCACCUGCUUUGCAUGCAUAAGGCCCUAGGUUCAAUCCCUAGAACCAGA
rnacentral:tRNA from 1 species